GACGGGGAGCACCACAACGGGUGGAGCUUGCGGUUUAAUUGGAUUCAGCGCCGGAAAUCUUACCGGGACCGACAGCAAUAUGAAGGCCAGGCUGAAGACUUUGCCGGAUUAGCUGAGAGGCGGUGCAUGGCCGUCGUCAGUUCGUACUGUGAAGCAUCCUGUUAAGUCAGGCAACGAGCGAGACCCACGCCCACAGUUGCCAGCGUACUCUCUGGAGUGACGGGUACACUGUGGGGACCGCCGCUGCUAAAGCGGAGGAAGGAAUGGGCAACGGUAGGUCAGUAUGCCCCGAAUAUCCCGGGCUACACGCGAGCUACAAUGGUUGGUACAAUGGGUAUCUACCCCGAAAGGGGACGGGAAUCUCCUAAAACCAAUCUUAGUUCGGAUUGAGGGCUGCAACUCGCCCUCAUGAAGCUGGAAUCCGUAGUAAUCGCGUUUCAACAGAACGCGGUGAAUACGUCCCUGCUCCUU
rnacentral:rRNA from 1 species